UACGGAGGGUGCAAGCGUUGUCCGGAAUCACUGGGCGUAAAGGGCGCGUAGGCGGCUCAUGAAGGCUGUGGUGAAAGUCCGGGGCUCAACCUCGGAUCGGCCGUGGCGACUCGUGGGCUGGAGCACUGUAGAGGCGGGUGGAAUUCCGGGUGUAGCGGUGGAAUGCGUAGAGAUCCGGAAGAACACCAGUGGCGAAGGCGGCCCGCUGGGCAGUGGCUGACGCUGAGGCGCGACAGCGUGGGGAGCAACAGG
rnacentral:rRNA from 1 species